UACGUAGGGUGCAAGCGUUAAUCGGAAUUACUGGGCGUAAAGCGUGCGCAGGCGGUUAUGUAAGACAGAUGUGAAAUGCCCGGGCUCAACCUGGGAACUGCAUUUGUGACUGCAUGGCUAGAGUGUGUCAGAGGGGGUAGAAUUCCACGUGUAGCAGUGAAAUGCGUAGAUAUGUGGAGGAACACCAAUUGCGAAGGCAGCUCGCUGGGACGUUACUGACGCUGAGACGCGAAAGCGUGGGGAGCAAACAGG
rnacentral:rRNA from 1 species